rnacentral:rRNA from 1 species
AUGGAUCGGUCCAUGAAGGUCUUUGUGGUCGUCUUCCUGCUCCUUGUGGCCACAGGGUUCCAGGGAGCAGUGCAGGUAGCUUUGGCGAGGGAGUGUACGUCACCGAGCCACAAGUUUAAGGGGUUAUGCGUGAGCGACACCAACUGUGCAAGUGUUUGCCUCACAGAGCGAUUCCCCGGAGGCAAGUGCGACGGCAUUCGGCAGCGUUGUUUAUGCACCGAGAAAUGCUAG